AACCCUUUUUUUCUAAGAGUGAAUGCUAUAUASGCAUAGUAAGUUAGAGUGCCUUGUCAAGUUUUCACCCCCUUGCACAGAGUAAGCUGUAUAGAUCAGUCAGUGAAAAAUAAUGUCCUAAUUUGAACUAAUUGAAAGGUGCUAUUUGUGCUUUAAUACCAACAGAAGGAGGAGCUGAAUUCAAAGGAGAUGGUUGAUUAUCAGCUCAUUGACCAGGAUGUUAAGGCUCUGAAUGAUGCUGUGAAUGGUAAGAAAAAGGACCCAGCCCCCUGGAUUCAGGUGUUAACCACGAGAGACUCAAACCAUCUCAACAGAGUGCUAUCCAGGUUGGAGGAUCUGAGAGGGGAAACUGUGGAUAAAACAGUACAGAGUCACUUCUCUGGGGACCUGAGGCUUGGCUUCCGCA